UAGCAGAGCAGUAGCCUGGGAAUCAGGAGACCCUGGCUGACCUGAUGUGCCACCUUGGACACAUCACUUCUCUAUGCCGCUGAUUCCCAUCUAACUCUCCAUCAGCCUCGUCUCUUUAGCCUGAAAGCUCCUUGAGGCAGGGACUCUCUCUUCUUCGUGCAUGCAGCGCUGAGAUCAGUGGAGACCUGAUCUCAGCUGGACCCAGUAGGUGCUAUGGGUAUAUACAUAAUAAAGUUCCUGAAUCAAACCGUGUUAAUCAUCAUGGACUAUUGACUUCAGCGUGAUUACCUGUAUGCAGUUAAGCAACGUACAGCCUGCUUGAGAGAGAAAGGAGAGUAACAACUGAAAAUAUGAGCGGAGGAGAAGAGCGGAGGAGAAGAGCUCCUAGUCUCAGAAUCACAGGUCUGGCUGCUGCUGACUCCAAUGAGGGCAAACACAUCUUGUGUCUCACGCCUAAGGGCUGGAUCAUCCCCCUCUGCCACGGCAUGUGGAAGGAAGCCAGAUCCUGUUCAUCGUCGCCAGGCAGCAUGAAGCUGGAGAGCUGCAGCAUUGUCCCCUUCUACACCCCAGCCCUAUGGAAAUCCACCCCUAUGGAUAGAAGCUCCAGUGAAGAUCAGGGCCCCACUGUUCCAGCCACUAUGUCCCAGCCAUAGAAUCCCUGUGCCAAAGAACUUACAACAGAAGAAAAAGCUUGAAAUCCAAGGGUCCAAUCCUGCUCCUAUUAAGUCUAUGGAUUUUUUUCAUUGUCUUCAGUGAAAAUAGGAGCAAGCCUCAAGGCCCCCAUUGGACGUGCAAGCUCGGAGUCUCACCAAAGUCAGCUCACAGCUCUGCAGAAUGGAGGACGCUGAUGGAAUUACCACAGCUUCUGGGUCUAGCCAUUUUCUUCUUCCCCUCCCUUCUAUACUACCUUACUCCUUUGCCAGUGUGUAAAGUUCCAACUCUCACUUGAAGAAAGUCUAAGCUCCC